GUUUAUCAGUCUAAUUGGGCCUCUCACACAUGUUAUUAUACGCUGUGUUUUGGCUAUUAGGUUAGGCAGGGAGAGACUACACCUUAGCGCCGUCGACGUCUCAUCUUCCUCAAAACCGAUCGAUGACCUUCAAACCUCCCAUUAAACUCGGCCACGAUGUAGAUUCAAUGCGGGAUGGAUUUUAAUUGCAGAUGACGAUGGAGUCACUAUAUAAAGUGCGCUUGCUCCGCUUCUGGGAGGCCAAGAACGUCUGCCGUGGUGGAGAACUCAUGGGUGCUGUUAGUUGAUUCUCAGUCGACCAUGAUGCCGGCUACUGUGAAUGUUAACCGUCUCGCAGCACAUCAGCCUAAUCUGGAGGCGGGUUCGGUCUACUCUCUCACUGGAUUUUGAGGUCACACGAUGUAACCAGAACUACCGUCUGUCGGACUCCCAUAUUUUGAUCCGUUUUGCCGAGUCAACCUCUUUCAAGAAGAUCGCUGAACCGUAACUACAGUGAGCUGCUUGGACUUGCUAAUUCCAACAACCAGCUUCCGAGCUGUUUUUGAACGCCACAUCCGACACGCAUAUCUAUUUUGACAAAGCAACAUAUGCGGGCGAAAAAGAUUGUUUUACGAGUUGGUUGAGCAAAGCACGGGACUGGCACCAGUGGCUCCACUGCUGAAGAGUUAUGCUAAGGUGGAGAAGUUGAGCAUAUCUGAGCUCAACGAUUUUGUCCUCACUGCUGCGUCUCAGGACAUUGAUUUCAUUUGCAGUGGAAAGGUUACUGGAGUCAAGUUGGACAAAGGGUGGUGCUAUGUUUCAUGUUCAAAGUGUUUCAAGAAACUCCACCGGUCUGUCUCAACCCUCACGUGCCAGUCUUGCAACAAUACCAAUGCGGUUGGUGUUCUUCGGUACCGUGUGGAAAUGUCCAUUGCAGACAGUACUGGUGAGGCUUUGUUUGUUGCGUUUGAUGGAGUUAUGGCGAAGCUGUCAACCUCUUGGCUGGUGAUGGUGUCAACCCCGAAGAAGCUGACGCUCCCCCGUUCGUUCGAGACAUGGAGGGAAGGUCAUUCACAUUCCAGGUGAAGGUGGGCCCGUAUAAUUUCACGGCAAAUCAUCAAAGCUUCACCAUCUCACGCAUUCUCAGCGAGGGCGACCGCGAGCCACAGCCUGAUUUUGCUGAUGAUGGUGGUGACGAUGACAAUGGAGGUGACAACAACAAUGGAGAUGACAACAAUACUGGCUUGGUGAAGCGUAAGAUGGACUUUGGUGGAGGUAGCAAGUCUGGAGGACCAUCUGCUAAGGUGAAGAGGGCUCGGAAGGCUUAAGUGACUGCAGGAUGAAAGUUGCAUGUUUCCCUUUUCUAAUAAUAAUCAAGAUGUUUUCUUUAUGAGCAAGUACGCUUUUGCUAUUUAUACUCUGGUGUUUUGACUCUUUUGGCAUUUGAGUUUGCUUCUUUAUGGACAAGUUUGGGUUUUUAUUUUUUUUCUGCUUUUAGAUUAUUGGCUUAUGCAUUUUUCAUCUAUAGCAGAAUAUAUGUUGUUAAAUAGAUUUUGUUGGAUUAUUAGCUUAUGCAAUUUUUUUUGUUUUAA